rnacentral:lncRNA from 1 species
CGGGUAGUUUGUUCCAGUCGGUAAUAGUUCUUGGAAAAUAGGAUUCUUUUCUGUACUGUGUUUUGCAGGAAGGAAUUUGGAAGCUGUUCGAAUAAGAAUGUCUUGUUUAUAUUUUUUGUGGGAUUCAUUUUAUAUCUUUAGGUAUUGUUACCUUUUUGUGUUCAAUUUUAUAAAACAUUACUAAUCUUGAGUAUUUUCUUUUGUCAGAGAGGCUGCGUCAUUUAAGGUGUUGUAACGGUACCGUUUUA